rnacentral:rRNA from 2 species
GAUAAACGCUGGCGGUGUACAUAAGACAUGCAAGUCGAACGGGAGAAAACUGGAAGAUUUAUCUACUAGUUGGACACCGUGGCGGACGGGUGAGUAACACGUAAGCAACCUACCUAUAAGAGGGGAAUAACAGUGAGAAAUUACUGAUAAUACCGCAUAAGCUGGAGGUAUCGCAUGAUACAUUCAGAAAAGAUUUAUCGCUUAUAGAUGGGCUUGCGUCUGAUUAGCUAGUUGGUGAGAUAACAGCUCACCAAGGCGACGAUCAGUAGCCGGAUUGAGAGGUUGAACGGCCACAUUGGGACUGAGACACGGCCCAGACUCCUACGGGAGGCAGCAGUCGGGAAUAUUGCACAAUGGAGGAAACUCUGAUGCAGUGACACCGCGUAUAGGAAGAAGGUCUUAGGAUUGUAAGCUAUUGUCGUGUGAGAAGAAAAUGACCAUCACAGGAGGAAGCCCUGGCUAAAUAUGUGCCAGCAGCCGCGGUAAUACAUAUGGGGCGAGCGUUAUCCGGAUUUAUUGGGUGUAAAGGGUGCGUAGGCGGGAAAAUAAGUCAGUAUGUGAAAUCCCUCGGCUCAACUGAGGAACUGCAACUGAAACUAUUUUUCUUGAGUGUUGAAGGGGAAAGUGGAAUUCCUAGUGUAGCGGUGAAAUGCGUAGAGAUUAGGAGGAACACCAGUGGCGAAGGCGACUUUCUGGGCAACAACUGACGCUGAGGCACGAAAGUGUGGGGAGCAAACAGG